CACCACAGAUGCUACACUGGGGAGUCCGAGAGAUGCGGGACACUCAGCAGGACCUCUAAGCCCUUCUUGGGGGCCAUGCACUCAGUCUCCACGUACUUACCGGAAGGAGGGGACUGGCUUUUACCAGGCCCGCUCUGAUGUGGACAGGCUGGAGGUGAGGGGGCAUCGCACGAAGACAGCAUGGCAGCUCAGUCACUGCGUGCACACGCGUGUGCGCACACACGGGAAGGGGAGGAUGGGGGUGGCUGCCCUGCGGUACGAAGCUGUCCAGGUGGGGCAAGGGCGCCCGGGCCACCCCCCUCCAUCCCUCAGCAAGAAGCAACAUGCACUGUACGAGGAGGUUUACAUGAAGCGAUAUGGCGCAGAUCUACCCUACGGGACACGGACACCAACCGCACACGCAGGACAGGAGCGGACACAACACACAGUAAGUUGCUCAGGUGGCUGUGAAGGAGCCCGCACACCGGGGACACCAUGGCAUGCAGACACACAGGGAUCCAGGGCAGAAGCGCAGGUGGGGUCAGGAGGCGGGGACAGCCCCAGCCUGUGCCGGAAGUCCUUGUCAGCCCAGACUUCUCUCCCUCUGGGCUGGCUGG